rnacentral:rRNA from 1 species
AUUGAACGCUGGCGGAAUGCUUUACACAUGCAAGUCGAACGGCAGCACGGACUUCGGUUUGGUGGCGAGUGGCGAACGGGUGAGUAAUAUAUCGGAACGUGCCCAGUGGUGGGGGAUAACGUAGUGAAAAUUACGCUAAUACCGCAUACGAUCAAAGGGUGAAAGCGGGGGAGCGCAAGACCUCGCGCGAUUGGAGCGGCCUAUAUCAGAUUAGGUAGUUGGUGAGGUAAAGGCUCACCAAGCCACCGAUCUGUAGCUGGUCUGAGGGGAUGGCCAGCCACACUGGAACUGAGACACGGUCCAGACUCCUACGGGAGGCAGCAGUGGGGAAUUUUGGACAAUGGACGCAAGUCUGAUCCAGCCAUUCCGCGUGCAGGACGAAGGCCUUCGGGUUGUAAACUGCUUUUGUACAGAACGAAAAAGUUUCUAUUAAUACUAGGAGCUCAUGACGGUACUGUAAGAAUAAGCACCGGCUAACUACGUGCCAGCCGCCGCGGUAA